UGGGGCGUGGCCAAGUGGUAAGGCAGCGGGUUUUGGUCCCGUUACUCGGAGGUUCGAAUCCUUCCGUCCC
rnacentral:tRNA from 1 species